rnacentral:lncRNA from 1 species
CAGAUGAUGGCCAAAUUGGAAAAGAAAAAGAUACUCGGAACUGUCUAUAUCAGUUUCAUCCUUUAGAAGCAUAUCACAUUUCAGAUGNUGAUGUGAUGACAGAUGUGAUGAAAUAAGAUAAACAACACAUGGGAACUUGAAUGUUCAUCAAAAAGCAUAUACUCCUACAUUUCAGAUCUGAUGAAAUAGGAUAAACAAAACAUGGGAACUUGAAUAGGUUCAUCAAAUCUAUGACCUGCUUAAGAGAGUUGCUUUGAGCUUUUUAAGAAAGAAUGCAUCACAUAUACAUUAAGUAGCUAUAGUGGUGAUCAAGCUACUUGAUUCUUAAACAAUCACGGCCGCUGAAGUAGAAGGAAAAUGGAGACAUAAUGGCAUGAAGAUAGUCACUGAAUAAGGCUACAGUAAUAUAAGACCUAGCCAAUCUCCUGCCACAGCCGGGUAAUGUUGCUAGCAGAAUCCAUAACGAUCAUGGAAACCGUCACAUAAUAGGAACGGAGAAGACAGUCUAACAAAUAAUCCCGCUACACCCAAGUAAAAAUGUGCAGCCGGAGAAAAGAAAUUCUCGCAAAUAAUACAUAAGGCUCAAACUUAUUGUAUGUGACUCCUAUCCAUGACAAGCCUCGUCUGUUCUCCUUAUGGACAUGUUUGCCAAAAACCAUCACCAUAUCGCCACCAAAAUGGACUUCUCCAUCUCUUAGUCACACUCAAACUCACAAACUGAGUCUGUCUGACACAUUAGGCUUCGAGGACAAUGGAGAUCAAUUACCAACAUGAUUUUAUCUUCAAUUUCGAUUUAGGACACAAGAAACCAUGGCAUAAAAGGCAAAAGAGGUUCUACUGUCUCCCUUCAACUGACAAAGUCAAAGAUCCGAGAAACAACAGUCACAUAUUUACUAAUAUAAAAGAUUGUUUAUAACAUCUACUAAGAUAUUGCAAAUCUAUCAGCAGAAUAUUGACGCCGCUUAACAGACUCGAAUUCACUCGAAGGCCCAGGCAUUCUCUCUCCUGACUUCUUCCUCUU